rnacentral:rRNA from 1 species
UACAGAGACUGCAAGCGUUAUUCGGAUUCACUGGGCGUAAAGGGUGCGCAGGCGGCCGUGUGUGUUGGGCGUGAAAGCCCGGGGCUUAACCCCGGAAUUGCACCUCAAACUACACGGCUAGAGCAUUGGAGAGGGUAGCAGAAUUCAUGGUGUAGCAGUGAAAUGCGUAGAUAUCAUGAGGAAUACCAGAGGCGAAGGCGGCUACCUGGACAAUUGCUGACGCUCAGGCACGAAAGCGUGGGGAGCAAAAGGG